CAGGGUUGUGCGGCCUUUGGGCAAAGAUCAAUCAUAACGUCUCUACUUAUCAGUCUCAUAUCUAAAAUAUCUCCUAACCGGGGACCAUAUAUGAAAUUGAUUUUAAGGACAGAGAGAUGGAAUUGGAGAUUGCUCUGUCCACUCCACGCAUCGAUCUGGUAUUGCAGUUACUCCAGGAACGAUGCAUCCCAU
ensembl:snRNA U2 U2 spliceosomal RNA